AUUCCCAGUAAGUGCGGGUCAUAAGCUUGCGUUGAUUAAGUCCCUGCCCUUUGUACACACCGCCCGUCGCUACUACCGAUUGGAUGGUUUAGUGAGGCCCUCGGAUCGGCCCCGCCGGGGUCGGCCCACGGCCCUGGCGGAGCGCUGAGAAGACGGUCGAACUUGACUAUCUAGAGGAAGUAAAAGUCGUAACAAGGUUUCCGUAGGUGAACCUGCGGAAG
rnacentral:rRNA from 1 species